AUUGAACGCUGGCGGCAUGCCUUACACAUGCAAGUCGAACGGCAGCACGGGGGCAGCCCUGGUGGCGAGUGGCGAACGUGUGAGUAAUGCAUCGGAACGUGCCCAGUAGUGGGGGAUAACUAGUCGAAAGAUUAGCUAAUACCGCAUACGACCUAUGGGUGAAAGCGGGGNUUCGCAAGAACCUCGCGCUAUUGGAGCGGCCGAUGUCUGAUUAGCAGUUGGCGGGGUAAAAGCCCACCAAGGCUUCGAUCAGUAGCUGGUCUGAGAGGACGACCAGCCACACUGGGACUGAGACACGGCCCAGACUCCUACGGGAGGCAGCAGUGGGAAUUUUGGACAAUGGGCGCAAGCCUGAUCCAGCCAUGCCGCGUGCGGGAAGAAGGCCU
rnacentral:rRNA from 1 species